UACGGGGGGGGCAAGCGUUGUUCGGAAUUACUGGGCGUAAAGGGCUCGUAGGCAGCCAACUAAGUCAGACGUGAAAUCCCUCGGCUUAACCGGGGAACUGCGUCUGAUACUGGAUGGCUUGAAUCCGGGAGAGGGAUGCGGAAUUCCAGGUGUAGCGGUGAAAUGCGUAGAUAUCUGGAGGAACACCGGUGGCGAAGGCGGCAUCCUGGACCGGUAUUGACGCUGAGGAGCGAAAGCCAGGGGAGCAAACGGG
rnacentral:rRNA from 1 species